rnacentral:rRNA from 1 species
UACGUAGGUGGCAAGCGUUAUCCGGAUUUACUGGGCGUAAAGGGCGUGUAGGCGGGACUGCAAGUCAGAUGUGAAACCCAUGGGCUCAACCCAUGGCCUGCAUUUGAAACUGUAGUUCUUGAGUGAUGGAGAGGCAGGCGGAAUUCCGUGUGUAGCGGUGAAAUGCGUAGAUAUACGGAGGAACACCAGUGGCGAAGGCGGCCUGCUGGACAUUAACUGACGCUGAGGCGCGAAAGCGUGGGGAGCAAACAGG